rnacentral:tRNA from 1 species
GAGGGUAUAGCUCAGUGGUAGAGCACGUGCUUAGAAUGCGUAAGGUCCUGGGUUCAGUCCCCAGUACCUCCA